rnacentral:rRNA from 1 species
GACAGAGGAUGCAAGCGUUAUCCGGAAUGAUUGGGCGUAAGGCGUCUGUAGGUGGUUUGACAAGUCUUCUGUCAAAGAUCAGGGCUUAACCCUGGGCAGGCAGGAGAAACUAUUAGGCUAGAGUUCGGUAGGGGCAGAGGGAAUUCCCGGUGGAGCGGUGAAAUGCGUAGAGAUCGGAAAGAACACCAACGGCGAAAGCACUCUGCUGGGCCGACACUGACACUGAGAGACGAAAGCUAGGGGAGCGAAUGGG